UACGAGGGGGGCGAGCGUUGUUCGGAAUUACUGGGCGUAAAGCGCACGUAGGCGGCUUUUUAAGUCAGGGGUGAAAUCCCGGGGCUCAACCCCGGAACUGCCCUUGAAACUGGAGAGCUAGAAUCUUGGAGAGGCGAGUGGAAUUCCGAGUGUAGAGGUGAAAUUCGUAGAUAUUCGGAAGAACACCAGUGGCGAAGGCGACUCGCUGGACAAGUAUUGACGCUGAGGUGCGAAAGCGUGGGGAGCAAACAGG
rnacentral:rRNA from 1 species